AAAUUUUCUCAAGACAAGAAAAUUUACUUCUAUCAACCCGGGAAAAACGGAUUGGAUCUGGCCAUAUAUAAACAGAUCUGGCGAGAUCUUUAAAUUGUCUCUAUCUGACGAGAUCUGGCCAGAUAUAAUCAGAUCUGACCAGAUU